rnacentral:lncRNA from 1 species
GGAGCACCAGGAAGAGCAUGUUCACCGGGGCCUUCUGAGCAGUGGCCUCGCCGUGGAAUCUCAGACCUCAGCCUGGCCGUGCCCCACAGAUGUGGGUAAAAGGGUCUGGACUCAGAGUUUCGCCCAUGGUUUAGUAGACAUGUGACCUUGGGGAGCCCCUGAGGCCCUUGGAGGCUGGGGUUUAUCCUCUGAAACAGACUAGGUCCCCAGGCCACUGGUGUUUCCAGGAUCAAGCAGGUGAUACAGUGUUGCACAAGGCUUGGCUCAACACCAGCACAGACAAGCGCGGGUAAGCGCGGGUUCUCUCUGCCCGGACAUCUUACUUCUUCACAUUCUGUUUAUUGGUUCCCAAUUCCAACAUAAACAUCCCUUGAGUACUUUGCCUCCCUGUUUCUGCCACUGCCGUAACUCAGGCUUUCUUGAGGGGAGCCUCCUGCGUUCUGAGAACUAGCAUUUCAGAAUACCUUUUGUGCCGUCCAUUGCCGCCCGUACGGAAAAGUCCAAGGUAUUUUGUUUGUUUGUUUUAAAAUCAAGCCAUAUAAACCGUGUCACAACAAGAAGGCUGUCUUUCUGGAGGCCUCUGGUCACUUUUACAAAUGAUGUUAGGUUAUGACUCCUGGUAUGUGCUGCCCUCUAUGGACGAGUCACACACUCUCCCCUCUGUGCUUCUGUGGCAAACAGCAGACUUCUGUGGCGACCACCAGCAGACUUCCAUUAGGACAUCCUCGGAGCGGAGCGUACAGCUAACUGUCCUCAGACCCUUGGUGGAUGGCUUGGACCCAAGCUCCUCUCUGUGCCUCCAGCACUGACACAGAGCCACACCACACAGUAGUGUUAAGAACAUCCACGACCUGGUGCCUGUAACCCUGCGACCUAGAAUCACAGCACUCUGGAAUCAUAGGCAGGAAGACCAUGAGUUUGGAUCUAGUCUGAGUUAUAUAGCAAGUUCAAGGCCAGGCUGCGAUGUAGAGACCCUGUCUUAAAUGUGGGGUAAAAAAAAUAAACUUAAAAUUCCAUUAUUUGCAAGUGCCACCACUAACCUCUAGAGCUUUUCACCUUGCAAAAUAAAAACCCCAAAACUGUGAAAUGACAACACACCCUGCCUCCUGGCCACCAAUGUCUGCACUCUUCUCUCUGAGUUUGGCUGUGCUAAGGUCCUUGUGUAAAUGGAACCACACAUUAUUUGUCCGGAGAUUUGGGCCCUUUUGCCCAUAGCAUGUGCAAACUUGAACCAGCCUUGCCAGUGAGCUCCUCUGCCCUGGCUGACUAUGAGCUCAGUGAGAGUAGCUUGCCAGCCUGUUAGAAAUUUCUGUUUUCUCCUGCAUAAUCUCUUCUAAACAUUUUUUUUUCCAUUCCAAAGACAAAAGGGAAAAGUCAACCACUACCAUCGUCCAACUUGGCUAUGGCAGCCAAAGAUCAGUAGCGUCUCCCUCUAGCCAGGAGAUGGCUCUUUGCCCUAAGGUCUCCCAAUCCAAAGAAACCGUGCUGUCACACCCUUGUCCUCCCAGGGGCAGGCACAGUGGCUCCCCAGAGCCUCGCAGUAUUUCCCCAAGUGGUCACCCGUGUCGAGGCUGAGAGUCAUCAUGCUACGGCAGGAAGUAGCCUUGGCUUGUGGUGAUCUCCAGGGAUUUCUGAAGUCCAUGAGGACCCCAGCCUAUAAUACUUCCAUGUGGCAUAUCUAAGACAGGACCUGGGCUACUAGGGUUUCAAGCUCUCUGGUACUCUGGGACACGCUGAAGCUGUCCAAGGGAUCUAAUUCUACUUGAGGACCACUGUCCUGGAUGGUCCUUUGACUUGUGGUCCUGACCUGUUAUAUUCUCUCUGUCAUGGGUAGAUGGUUCUGGAAACAUCUGAUUUUGGCAUGAGACUUCUAAAAAGUACCACCAGCUUUUCUUUGUCUGCACAAUUUGAACACUAAAAACAACAACAACAACAACAACAAUAAUAAUACACCUUGAAAUACUGUUCAAGGCAAAGUAAAAGAUUCCUUCUUGGAUUCAGAUUCAGUCCAUGAAUUAAAAGUCUACAUUUAGGAUUGGGGUGGGUUUUGUAAUCAGUACUAAGGGGUUAUUAGUUUGGGAGCUUGGGACCCAUGUAAAAGUCACUCUGUGGUUGGUGCUGGUCCAUCCAAGCAUCACACCCCACCCUCUAGCACAGAGGGGACCAGCUUACCCACCUGGACCUGGCCUGGCUCAGCCCAGGCUUCUGCCCACCUGCCACAAUUGCCCCAAGCAAACAAGGAAGAUGGUACUGAGAUGAUAUGCCCCAGCGAUGAAGGCCACAGCUCCCAACAGCAGUGAGGGUCACAGCCCCCACAGCUGUGAAGGCCACAGCCGCCCCACAGUUGUAAGGGUCACAGCCCCCCACAGCUGUGAAGGCCACAGCCCCCCACAGUUGUAAGGGUCACAGUCCGCCACAGCAGUGAAGGUCACAGUACCACACAGUUGUAAGGGUCACAGUCCCCCACAGCAGUGAAGGUCACAGCCCCCCACAGUUGUAAGGGUCACAGCCCCCCACAGCAGUGAAGGUCACAGUACCACACAGUUGUAAGGGUCACAGUCCCCCACAGCAGUGAAGGUCACAGUACCACACAGUUGUAAGGGUCACAGCCCCCCACAGCAGUGAAGGCCGCAGCCCCUCACAGCACCCCACCUUCUCAUACACAUCCUUUGCUCUCCUCAUUUGGGAAAGGCCCAAGUUGGAACCAGCUGGUUAGAACUCAGAUUUGCCUUAACUUCUUACUCUGACCAGAAGCAAAGGGCCUGAUGUUCCCUCUGAACAUGUUCCCAUGGCAACUUAGAAAACCACACUUAGCCACAAAAUUCACAAAUCCCUGGAGAUCCUGAAAACUCACUAAGAGAUUAAAUGGUUGCUAUUUCAUUGAAACUCCACUCUCUUGCUGUGACUACUUACCACAAUGGUCCCUCAGCCCCAGGUAGCCAAGGACUGGGGUGAUGGAGUUUAGAGCCUCAUAAUACAUGCUGUAAACUCUUCCUCUAAGGCCAUUUUGCAAAGAGCAAGUCAUUUAUGACAUCUGUUUUAACCUUGCAUUCAGUUCUAGUGAGCACGGGUCUAGUUUCUAAUGGUAAGGAUGGUGCCAGGUGCCAGGUAGAGCAAGAGGUGGCAAAGACCAAAAACUACAAGGCUCAAAAGCCAUCAGGUGACAAGGGGCAUCUUGGUGAAGGGGCAAGUACAUGUGUUUUAAUAAGCCCAAAGGCAAGACGGCUUCAGAUUCCUCCCUCCUGGACAUCCACAGAGAUACAGGGACGUGGAAACCUCCAAACAGUGUCAGCCUACUGUCUUUAAUAAGGCAAAGAGGCAUAGUGCUUUAGGGUUGUUUCCAUCCUCAGAGGCUCCACAUCAAAAUGUCUGUGUAAGUCUUGGUGCUUGGGACAUCGCUCCUCAGUUUCUUGAAGUUCCUGCAAGUGAAGUCUUCAUUAUAUGAGAUGGGCGAACCCCCUUUUAGACUUUACUCUGACUUGAUAAUUCCCUCUUGCUCUUCUCUAUGUUUUCAGACAAAAAGAAUAGGGCAGGGGGAGUGGGAGUGGG